GAUGGGGCCCCGAUUCGAAGAGCUCGCCACCAUCAGACGAGGAGGAGUAGGAGGAGGGGAGUCCGAGCGCGCGGUGGGCGGCGGCGCGUCGCUCCGCAUCUCCCCAGGGCCUCGCCCCCCUCGAUGAAAGUGGGAGGAGGAGAGGAGGGAGGGACGAGGAGUAGCAGGGGGAGACGGGAGGUCGGGGGCUGGGGAUGACGGGAGAAAGGGAAAGGAGUGCCUCACUCCUCAGGCCUCGUGGGCUCGUGGCGUGGACGGACAGGAGGAGAAGGCCCACUUAAAAAACGCGUCUAACCGGUCGGGACGAACGCGGGCUGUUCGAUCGAUCCAAUGGCGUGAACAGGUCUAGCGACUUUGACCUGAGAUUCAAGCCAUUAUUCAAAUGCAAAAGGAAGAUUUGGUGAAGCUGCUUAAUGCGUGCUGCUUUUUGGAUAACAUUUGAGAAUGAAUGCACGCUGACUUCAGUACAGGGAGCUUGGUUGGUUCUGAUGCUUUGCUAAAUGCGAAAAAAUGAAGCACCUUCGUCGACUCGGAGGAACUCGGCCAGAAUAUACCUUUCAGCGUAGGAAGUGGAAUGGACGCAGGCUUUAUGGACUUUCAGUGAGCAGCUUGUUGUUUUCAUGGUGGAACUGGAGAAAUUUCAGAGUUUGUUCACAUCCAAAAUGUCUUUUGGAGUUCACGCGUUUCUUCUCGCGAUAUCUCAUAUGUUUUGCCAUGAAUUGUCCAAUAGUGUCAAGCAGAAUUGGUCCGAUCACUUCGUAGAAAUAAUCAUGCUGCAGUCAUGCUGAGCUUUGUGUUUUGCCAUGGUGUUAUUAUUUUUCUAGAAUACGCCAUGGUGUCAUUAUUAUUCGGAAAAAAAAAAAGAAAUGGCCGAGCAGAUGUCACCAAUUUUCGGUCAGUUCUCUCAUUAGAUUCUGCUGUCGUGUACCCAUGCUACGACUGAUCUGCCAAACCACAAUGAGAGGAGUUCCAACAAUCAGUUUCAGUAAGGAAUCGAUCUUUACCGAUGGAGAUGCUACAAAGGAGAACACAUUCUAAAAGCGGCGUGGCACUGGAUUCCUCGUAUCAUGUUUACAUUGGGGAGAUGAGCCACAUCUAUAAAAGAGAUGUGAAUGUGUGAUACUGCAAAGCAGCUUUCCGACAACCACUCGUGUCCCCACGGCCGGGAGAGCAGACUACGGCUGAUCAUCAUCAGUGGAUUCCAAGGCAAGUAGUACUUCGGGGGCCGGGGUUAUUUCAGACGUCCGAUCUCCUGCGCCCUUUGCCAUGAAGUGAAGGCCACUCAUGAACUCUCCAAAACAAAAUUUACGGCAGUUCCAUUCCACACUCCACGGAAUUAAUAAAACAACAAACAAUCAAUGCAUUCUUAGCUCGAUCCCUGUCAAGUGUCAAUCAUGACAUUCAGUCUUUCACCCGUGGUGUUAACUGUAAGCUCAUGCCGUUUACAUGAACACCGAUCUCGCGCAUCAAGACCCGUCGACACGCGACAGUCAUUUGAACUUUCAGAGAUAGAGAGAGAUCAGCAAAAGAAGGAGCAUGCUGUCAUGGCAUGGGAGUAGUCAAAAGGGUUGCGCUUGCGUUCUUGCAUGCAUGCUGGUGCUGCUGCUGAGCUUGUUCAGGAACACAAUCUUUGGACCACCCCCCACUUUCUUCAUGCCAAAUGCUAACCACGCCCUUAACUAAACAUACAGUGGUUACCUGACUUGGCAGACACGAUCGGUCGCCCUGGUUAUUCAUUUAUAAAUGUUUUCAUUGUGUCAA